GUAACAUGGUAAGUAUACCGGAAGGUGUACUUGGAAA
rnacentral:rRNA from 1 species